CCUACGGGGGGCAGCAGUGGGGAAUAUUGCACAAUGGGCGAAAGCCUGAUGCAGCCAUGCCGCGUGAAUGAAGAAGGCCUUCGGGUUGUAAAGUUCUUUCGGUAUUGAGGAAGGGAUGUGUGCUAAUAGUACACGUCAUUGACGUUAAAUACAGAAGAAGCACCGGCUAACUCCGUGCCAGCAGCCGCGGUAAUACGGAGGGUGCGAGUGUUAAUCGGAAUAACUGGGCGUAAAGGGCACGCAGGCGGUUAUUUAAGUGAGAUGUGAAAGCCCCGGGCUUAACCUGGGAAUUGCAUUUCAGACUGGGGAACUAGAGUACUUUAGGGAGGGGUAGAAUUCCACGUGUAGCGGUGAAAUGCGUAGAGAUGUGGAGGAAUACCGAAGGCGAAGGCAGCCCCUUGGGAAUGUACUGACGCUCAUGUGCGAAAGCGUGGGGAGCAAACAGGAUUAGAUACCCGAGUAGUC
rnacentral:rRNA from 1 species